rnacentral:rRNA from 1 species
UACGGAGGGGACUAGCGUUGUUCGGAAUUACUGGGCGUAAAGCGCGCGUAGGCGGAUUUGCAAGUCGGGGGUGAAAGCCCGAGGCUCAACCUCGGAACUGCCUUCGAUACUGCAAAUCUCGAGUCCGAGAGAGGUGAGUGGAAUUCCUAGUGUAGAGGUGAAAUUCGUAGAUAUUAGGAAGAACACCGGUGGCGAAGGCGGCCUGCUGGGCAGUUUUGCUGACACUGAGGCGCGACAGCGUGGGGAGCAAACAGG